UAUAUUUUAAGGUAAGGUAUUGAACAGAAGCAAUUAAAAUAUUACGAUUAAGGUAUCGGGUAACCUGUUUUUAUGGUAAAAUAUAGUGAGUUGAAACAAUUGAGCGUUUAAAUUGGGUAAUUGGGAUUUUUAAUAAUUGGGGUGAAGUUAUAAUCGAUUCCUGGGUAGGUAAUAAGUUAAUUGCUGCUAAACAAUUCUAAAUUAGGUUUUAUUUAUAUGGUAAUAAGGGUGUUUUAUAUAAAUUCGGUUCCGAAUGUGAUUAUUUUGGUAUAAGUGAUUAUAAUUACCCUGGGGUAAUUACCGCUGGGCCGAUUAUUUUUUUGGCGGUAAUUACGGUCACCUCCGUUUUGUAAUCGGGUUAGGGUUCCUUAUCUUAUCGUCACGUAACUUCGUGUUUCCAUCCUUUAUUUCUGGUCCGUGGUUUUUGGUGGUUUUGGUUUGGGUUCCCGACAUUUCCUUUGUUUUUGCCCAAUCGUGUCGGUACCAACCCUGGUCGUAACAUUAAUAUUAUUUUUUAUUUGUUUCCAAAAAUAUUUAUUUUGAAAUAAUUUUAAAAUCUUAGCGAUUUCCUAAUAUUUAAUAUAUAAGUUAUUAUAAUAAAAUUCCAAGCGAUUUUUCCUUACGUUACAAUUUAUUAAUAGGUAAUAUUUUAAUUUGUAAUAAAAAUAUUAUUUGGAAUUAUAAUUUUAUUCUUUUUAUUUUUUUUGCAAAAUUAUUAUAAUAAUUUAUUAUUUGGUUGUAUAUUUUUAAUUAACUUUCUAAUAUACUUUAAAAAUAUAUGGUACAGGGUUUUUAUAUUUAUAAUAUGUUUUGUUUUUCCGCGGGUAAUUAUAUAUAUUCGCGCAUAUAAUCGACCCAAAAAAAUAAAAUAACCUGUUGAAAUUGCAAAGUUUUUUCAAAUAGGCGAAAAUUACCAAUUUUCCUUUAUUUUAACCCCGUAUUACCAAUUCUUUUUAAAAUAAGAAUAAAAGGCCGUUUAUAAUAAUGGAUAUUUUGUGGUUAGAUUGUUUCGACGGCCCGUUAACAGGAUUUUGUUUCCCUGCACGGUAAAUAAUUUUAAAAUUAAAAAAAAUAUUAUCCAACGCGUUUAAUUUUUAUCAAAUUUGGGUGUUUUUAUAAAAUCUUGCAAAUUUUAAUACUUUGUAAGUAUAAUUAUUAGGGAUAUAUUCUUUUGGGUAAUAUUUCUAAUAUUUGAGAAGUUUGACUAAAAUAUUUAAUUUCCGGUCCGGGGUUUUUUAAUUUAAUUCGGCUUCAAAUUAUUUUUUAGAUUCGAUGUUAAUAAAAUGCCAAUUGUUUUUAAAAAGUUGUAAUAAAAUCGCCUUCUAAACGUAUAUUACAAUAUUAAUUUCCAACCGUAUAGGAACUAAAAAAUAAUAAUAAUAUGGUAAUAUUACGACCAGAUAGUUGGGCCGGUACCAAAAAGGCCAGGUGGGGUUACACCCAUCCUAACGACAUUCGCCCAAAAAAAAUACCGACCGACAAAAUAGUAAUUACCUAAAAGUAAAGCCACGAAAUUUUACGUAACCUUACGUAACGGCCAAGGGAAUAGAUUUUUAUAAUUUGUAAAAUCUCAAUUAAAAAUUACAAAUUAAA
rnacentral:sRNA from 1 species